rnacentral:tRNA from 1 species
GUCCCCAUCGUCUAGAGGCCAAGGACACUGCCCUUUCACGGCAGCGACCGGGGUUCGAAUCCCCGUGGGGACGCCA